rnacentral:sRNA from 1 species
UGUCUUAAAAUACUUACUAGGGGGCGGA